UUUGUAUGCAAUGCCGUCUGCUCUGCGCAUUAAUAGUAAUACAGAUAACGGGUUUGAAAGAAUUCUCUACUGAAGAAGGAUUGAAAAUUUUCCAGUGGCUGAUACUGAGAAGGAACGCAACUUUACUCUCUCCCUAUUUCCGCGUUCUUGGGUGUAAAAGUCUCAGACAGCCUGUUUUUGGUUGAAACUCGGCAAGGUCUCCGUGGACAGCAAAGUUGGAGGGCUGCUCCUGCACCACCGAGCCGCUAGAUUUCUGAACACAGUCUUGCCCAAGGAUAACACAAAUCUGUGUCACUGGCUGGGUGUAAUGCAAGGAAGGGACAAAGAUGAAAUGGAAACAUCUUCCUUUUUUGGUCAUAAUAUCACUCCUCAGAGUGUCAAACCACAACCUGCUUCUGGCCCAGCUUAUUCCAGGUUCAUAGCUUGACAUCCAAUUCAAACACAAGUGAUGGCAUGCUGUAACUAUUACCAUAACCUGGAAUUGGAGGCUCAGGCAUAUCCUUUUUUGCUAUUCUUGUUUAUGAAGUGUCAUUCCUCAUUUAGCC
rnacentral:lncRNA from 1 species